GGGGAAUAUUGCGCAAUGGGGGGAACCCUGACGCAGCCAUGCCGCGUGAAUGAAGAAGGCCUUAGGGUUGUAAAGUUCUUUCGGUAUUGAGGAAGGUUGAUGUGUUAAUAGCACAUCAAAUUGACGUUAAAUACAGAAGAAGCACCGGCUAACUCCGUGCCAGCAGCCGCAGUAAUACGGAGGGUGCGAGCGUUAAUCGGAAUAACUGGGCGUAAAGGGCACGCAGGCGGUUAUUUAAGUGAGGUGUGAAAGCCCUGGGCUUAACCUAGGAAUUGCAUUUCAGACUGGGUAACUAGAGUACUUUAGGGAGGGGUAGAAUUCCACGUGUAGCGGUGAAAUGCGUAGAGAUGUGGAGGAAUACCGAAGGCGAAGGCAGCCCCUUGGGAAUGUACUGACGCUCAUGUGCGAAAGCGUGGGGAGCAAACAGGAUUAGAUACCCUGGUAGUCCACGCUGUAAACGCUGUCGAUUUGGGGGUUGGGGUUUAACUCUGGCGCCCGUAGCUAACGUGAUAAAUCGACCGCCUGGGGAGUACGGCCGCAAGGUUA
rnacentral:rRNA from 1 species